rnacentral:rRNA from 1 species
UACAGAGGUCUCAAGCGUUGUUCGGAUUCAUUGGGCGUAAAGGGUGCGUAGGCGGCGCGGUAAGUCGGGUGUGAAAUCUCGGGGCUUAACUCCGAAACUGCAUUCGAUACUGCCGUGCUUGAGGACUGGAGAGGAGACUGGAAUUUACGGUGUAGCGGUGAAAUGCGUAGAUAUCGUAAGGAAGACCAGUGGCGAAGGCGGGUCUCUGGACAGUUCCUGACGCUGAGGCACGAAGGCUAGGGGAGCAAACGGGG